rnacentral:rRNA from 1 species
GAUGAACGCUGGCGGCGUGCCUAAUACAUGCAAGUCGAGCGAACAGACGAGGAGCUUGCUCCUCCGACGUUAGCGGCGGACGGGUGAGUAACACGUGGAUAACCUACCUAUAAGACUGGGAUAACUUCGGGAAACCGGAGCUAAUACCGGAUAAUAUAUUGAACCGCAUGGUUCAAUAGUGAAAGACGGUUUUGCUGUCACUUAUAGAUGGAUCCGCGCCGCAUUAGCUAGUUGGUAAGGUAACGGCUUACCAAGGCAACGAUGCGUAGCCGACCUGAGAGGGUGAUCGGCCACACUGGAACUGAGACACGGUCCAGACUCCUACGGGAGGCAGCAGUAGGGAAUCUUCCGCAAUGGGCGAAAGCCUGACGGAGCAACGCCGCGUGAGUGAUGAAGGUCUUCGGAUCGUAAAACUCUGCUAUUAGGGAAGAACAAAUGUGUAAGUAACUAUGCACGUCUUGACGGUACCUAAUCAGAAAGCCACGGCUAACUACGUG